UGAACAUGGGGGCACCCCUGCUCCGCCCUGCCGCGUGGGUGAAGAGGGCCUUCGGGUUGUAAAGCCCUUUCGGCGGGGACGAAAUCGCGGGGGUGAGAAGCCUUCGUGGAUGACGGUACUCGCAGAAGAAGCACCGGCUAACUACGUGCCAGCAGCCGCGGUAAUACGUAGGGUGCGAGCGUUAAUCGGAAUUACUGGGCGUAAAGCGUGCGCAGGCGGACUCUUAAGUCGGUGGUGAAAUCCUGGAGCUCAACUCCAGAACUGCCUUCGAUACUGAGAGUCUCGAGUCCGGGAGAGGUGAGUGGAACUGCGAGUGUAGAGGUGAAAUUCGUAGAUAUUCGCAAGAACACCAGUGGCGAAGGCGGCUCACUGGCCCGGUACUGACGCUGAGGUGCGAAA
rnacentral:rRNA from 1 species